UAACACAUGCAAGUCGAACGGACUUUAUGGGAUUUAUCUUAUAGAGUUAGUGGCGGACGGGUGAGUAACACGUGAGCAACCUACCUUUUGCAGGGGAAUAACACUGGGAAACCAAUGCUAAUACCGCAUGUUGUACUUGUGAGGCAUCUUACGGGUAUGAAAGGAGCAAUCCGGCAGAAGAUGGGCUCGCGUCCGAUUAGGCAGUUGGUGGGGUAACGGCUCACCAAACCGAGGAUCGGCAGCCGGACUGAGAGGUUGAACGGCCACAUUGGGACUGAGACACGGCCCAGACUCCUACGGGAGGCAGCAGUGGGGAAUUUUGGGCAAUGGGGGGAACCCUGACCCAGCGACGCCGCGCGAAGGAAGAAGGCCUUCNGGUUGUAAGCUUCUUUGAGGAGGGACGAAGAUGACGGUACCUCCAGAACAAGCCACGGCUAACUACGUGCCAGCAGCCGCGGUAAUACGUAGGUGGCGAGCGUUAUCCGGAAUUACUGGGUGUAAGGGCGGCAGGCGGCAUUAAAAGUCAGGUGUGAGAGCCAAGGCUUAACUUUGGACGGUAUUGAAUUANGAGUGUCAGAGGGGAAAGUGGAAUUCCUAGUGGAGCGGUAAAAUGCGCAGAGAUUAGGAGGAACACCGGUGGCGAAGGCGACUUUCUGGCUGACAACUGACGCUGAGGCGCGAAGGGUGGGGAGCAAACAGGAUUAGAUACCCUGGUAGUCCACGCCGUAAACGAUGAUUACUGGGUGAAGGGGGUAUCGACUCCCUCUGUGCCGAAGCAAACGCGAUAAGUAAUCCACCUGGGGAGUACGGCGCAAGGCUAAAACUCAAAGGAAUUGACGGGGCCNCACAAGCGNGGAGAUGUGGUUAAUUCGAGGACGGAAGACCUUACCGGGUUUGCAUCCAGCGCCAGGGCUAGAGAUAGUUUGUUCUCUUCGGAGACGCUGAGACAGGUGGUGCAUGGUUGUCGUCAGCUCGUGUCGUGAGAUGUUCGGUUAAGUCCGGCAACGAGCGCAACCCCUGUUGCCAGUUGCCAUCAUUGGGUUGGGCACUUUGGCGAGACUGCCGUUGACAAAAUGGAGGAAGGUGGGGAUGACGUCAAAUCAUCAUGCCCCUCAUAUCCUGGGCUACACACGUACUACAAUGGGCGCAGACAGCGGGCAGCGAAGCGGCGACGCGGAGCGAAUCCUGAAAGGCGCCCUCAGUUCGGAUUGCGGGCUGCAACUCGCCUGCAUGAAGCCGGAAUUGCUAGUAAUGGCAGGUCAGCAUACUGCCGUGAAUACGUUCCCGGGCCUUGUACACACCGCCCGUCACAGCAAGAGAGUAUGUAACACCCGAAGUCAGUAGCUUAACCGAUUUAGUUAUUGGAGGACGCUGCCGAAGGUGGGACAUUAUUGGGGUG
rnacentral:rRNA from 1 species